AUGCCGGGUCUUGUCCCCUCCUCCUCAUCCGCCCACCUCCUCUCCCGCAGCCUCGCCGCCGCCAGGACGCUCUCCGCCGCCGCCGGUUACUCCUCCUCCCCCUCCCCCUCCUCUUCCGUCAAGAUGGCGCGCUCGGCGCUGGACGAGGUGACCGACACCGGCGCGUUCGACCGGACGCCGUCCACCUUCCGGAGCUUCGUGUCGAGGGACGCCUCCGCCCGCUUCCCCGCGGUGGCGGGCAGGUACCACCUCUACGUCUCCUACGCCUGCCCCUGGGCGUCCCGCUGCCUCGCCUACCUCAAGCUCAAGGGCCUCGACCACGCCAUCAGCUUCUCGUCGGUGAAGCCCAUCUUCGAGCGGACCAGGGAGUCGGACGACCACCUGGGGUGGGUGUUCCCGGCCACCGCCGACGAGGUGCCCGGCGCCAGCCCCGACCCCUUCAACGGCGCCAAGAGCGUCAGGGAUCUGUACGAGAUCGCGAGCACCAACUACACCGGCAAACCGACUGUCCCCGUGCUGUGGGACAAGCAGCUGAAGACGGUGGUGAACAACGAGAGCAGCGAGAUCAUCCGGAUGCUCAACGCCGAGUUCAACGACAUCGCCGAGAACCCCGGGCUGGACCUCAACCCGGCGCACCUCCAGGGCUCCAUCGACGAGGUCAACGGCCUCGUCUACGACGCCAUCAACAACGGCGUCUACAAGUGCGGCUUCGCCAAGAAGCAGGGGCCAUACGACGAGGCCGUCACGAGGCUGUACGAAGCUCUGGACAAGUGCGAGGAGAUCCUGGGCAAGCAGCGGUACAUGUGCGGCAACCAGCUCACGGAGGCCGACGUCCGCCUCUUCGUCACGCUCAUAAGAUUUGACGAGGUUUACGCGGUUCACUUCAAGUGCAACAAGAAGCUGCUGAGGGAGUACCCCAACCUGUUCAACUACACCAAGGACAUGUACCAGAUCCCCGGGAUCAGCAGCACGGUGAACAUGGAGCACAUCAGGAAGCACUACUACGGGAGCCACCCCUCCAUCAACCCCUACGGGAUCAUCCCCCAAGGCCCCAACAUCGAUUACAAUGCGCCACAUGACAGAGAAAGGCUGUUCCUGUAA
rnacentral:rRNA from 1 species